rnacentral:rRNA from 1 species
GACGAACGCUGGCGGCGUGCUUAACACAUGCAAGUCGAACGGAAAGGCCCUGCUUUUGUGGGGUGCUCGAGUGCCGCACGCGUGUGUGUCACGUGUGUAACCUCCCCUUGUCUUUGGGAUAACAUCUGGAAACUCGGGCUCUUAUCCGAUAUGAGCUCUUGAUGCAUGGUGGGGGAUGGAAAAUUUCGGCGGUGUGGGCUGGACUCGCGGCUUAUCAGCUUGUUGGUUAGGUAGUGGCUUACCAAGGCUUUGACGGGUAGCCGGCCUGGGAGGGUGACCGGGCACAAUGGGACUAAGGGACGGCGCAGACGGCUACGUGAGGCAGAAGGGGGAAAUAUGGCACAAUAGGCGGGAGUGUGAUGCAGCAACGCCGCGUGCGUAAUGACGGCUUUCGGGGGGUAAACCGCUUUCGACUGUGACGAAGCGUGAGUGACGGUAAUGGGUAAGGAAGCAACGGCUAACUACGUG